AACGAACGCUGGCGGCAGGCUUAACACAUGCAAGUCGAGCGCCCCGCAAGGGGAGCGGCAGACGGGUGAGUAACGCGUGGGAAUCUACCUAUCACUACGGAACAACUCCGGGAAACUGGAGCUAAUACCGUACUACGUCCGAGAGGAGAAAGAUUUAUCGGUGAUAGACUGAGCCCGCGUUGGAUUAGCUAGUUGGUGGGGUAAUGGCCGUACCAAGGCGACGAUCCAUAACUGGUCUGAGAGGAUGAUCAGCCACACUGGGACUGAGACACGGCCCAGACUCCUACGGGAGGCAGCAGUGGGGAAUAUU
rnacentral:rRNA from 1 species